GGGGGGGAAGGACGUCACUAGCAAGUUAUCCAGGUGGGGCUGCAACGAGCAGUGGAAGACGGUGGCAGAUCUCGAUCUCGUCGUGGAGAUGAAGAAGGCCGGGGUCUUCGCCGCCUCUGUAGCUGCCGCCUCUUCCGCCGCUCUCGCCGCCGGCGACCACGCCACCAACUUCCCCUUCCCCUCGUCCUCCUCCAAUGAGGGAUCGGGAUCGGGAACGUCGAAGAAGAAGGACACCGCCGCUGGAUCGGGGUCGAGAAGGGGAGGGGACGACAAAUUCGCCCCGAGGUUCGACGGGCUCAGGUUCAUCGAGACGCUGGUGACGGCUCAUCGGUGACUCUAUGAAGAACACCACCACCACCACCACCACCAUCAUCACCAGUUCUCUUUGCUUCCGCCGCCGACAGGUGACCCUACGAAUUGUUUGCUAAUCUUAAAUUUCAUGAUUUAACUAUUAAAUGGUUUAAAGGAGCCCGAGAGUGGUUUGAAAAGGGGGCAAGGAGAAGGGAAGGACAAGAUUAAUGACUACUAUAUUAAAGUCUUUCGGAAAAGAAAGCUUCAGAAAUUAGAAAAAAAGAAAAGGCGCAGCAUGCACCUCAGCGAUUCCCCGUGCUGCAGCAGCUGAAAGGCCUCGUUUAUCUCACCAAAUGGCAGCUCAUGUGUUAUGAAUCCAUCCAAAUUUAUUCUGUCAUCCUGUGAGAAUGAAGGUGGGCAUUUCAGCACAUUAUGUCAGAUAGAAACACAGCGCUGUGACGUGCUACAACAGAUCAUCCCUGCAGGCACUCACCCCAUGCAUGCAUUUCUCCACAAGGUCUGGCAACUGUGACUUCCCCUUGAAACCUCCAAAGACACUGGCUGCUAACCUCCUGUAAUAGAGCUCCAUGGGAUGUACAGGCAACAGUCUUGGUGUGGGAUGGAUCCCCAUCAUCACUGUCAAACCCCAUCCCUGCUCAUCCAGUAAUAAAUAAUACACGCUUUAAGCGACAUUAAUCA